AACGAACGCUGGCGGCAGGCCUAACACAUGCAAGUCGAGCGGAUGAAGAGAGCUUGCUCUCUGAUUUAGCGGCGGACGGGUGAGUAAUGCCUAGGAAUCUGCCUGGUAGUGGGGGAUAACGUUCCGAAAGGAACGCUAAUACCGCAUACGUCCUACGGGAGAAAGCAGGGGACCUUCGGGCCUUGCGCUAUCAGAUGAGCCUAGGUCGGAUUAGCUAGUUGGUGAGGUAAUGGCUCACCAAGGCGACGAUCCGUAACUGGUCUGAGAGGAUGAUCAGUCACACUGGAACUGAGACACGGUCCAGACUCCUACGGGAGGCAGCAGUGGGGAAUAUUGGACAAUGGGCGAAAGCCUGAUCCAGCCAUGCCGCGUGUGUGAAGAAGGUCUUCGGAUUGUAAAGCACUUUAAGUUGGGAGGAAGGGCAGUAAGUUAAUACCUUGCUGUUCUGACGUUACCGACAGAAUAAGCACCGGCUAACUUCGUGCCAGCAGCCGCAGUAACAC
rnacentral:rRNA from 1 species